ensembl:lncRNA novel transcript
GACAACUCGCGGGGAUUGUUUUCCACACCGUGGAAGCUUUGUUCUUUUCGUUUUUUGCAAUAAAUCUUGUUGCUGCUCGCUUUUUGGGUCCACAUUGCUUUUAUGAGCUGUACCACUCACCGUGAAGAUCUGCAGCUUCACUUCAGAGCCUAGCGAGACCACAAGCUCACUGAGAGGAACAAACAACUCCAGACGCGCUGUCUUAAGAGCUAUAACACUCACCGCGAAGGUGUGCAGUUUCACUCCUGAGCUAGUGAGACUACGAAGCCACUGGAACGAAGAAACUCCAACCACGUUUGAACAUCAGAAGGGGCAGACUCCAGACGCUUCAUCUUAAGAGCUGUAACACUCACUGUGAAGGUCUGCAGCUUCACUCCUGAGCCAGCGAGACCACGAACCGAUCUGAACAUCAGAAGGGACAGACUCCAGAUGCCCCACCUUAAGAGCUGUAAUACUCACUGCAAGGGUCUGCAGCUUCAUUCUUGAAGUCAGACCAAGAACCCAGCAAUUCCCAACACACAGGGACCAGCUUCUUUCCUAACUCACUUAGGCUCUUCGUGCUGCUCUGGCAACUAACACCCUUGGCUGCAGGGGCUUGGACACUACCCUUAGUCACUGACAAUUGUGUGAAGGCUGCUGUCGUUAACUUCACUUGAUCACCUUAGGCUCCUGUGAAGUGGUGAGCAAUUCAAACAAAUUCCUGUCGUCAAAUCAUAAUCCUGAUUUUGUUUGGAAGGACAGCGUGCCUGGUUCCAGAUGGAGAAAUUGCACUGCAGAGAAAUCUUUAAAAGCAAUUACCUAAUACUGCAGAUUGCUGAACUGUACCCACACCCAAGACUGAGCAUUGGAUCAAUCCAGAAUAUACAUCAGGUGUUCUGCAAUGUCUGCCUAAAACCAUGACUCUGCCUCCUCCAGCUGUUGCUACAUCUCACUAUGGGUUUCCUGUGACAUUUUGAGCAAGUAUGCCUCUGUGACUGGGGUUCUUACACUCCAGAAUGGAUGAGAAGCACCGUAAGUGGCUUUUAAAAUGAAUAUUCCCUGGCCCUUCAGUCGCUCUAUAGGUCAAGAAUCUGAAUUCUCAACCUGUCUAGAAGGUUCUGGUUUUAAUGGUCUGUGGGCUGCACAUUGAGAAACCUGUUCAGCGAGUGCAACAAAGGUUCCACAUGUGAGAAAGGAAGCAUCAGGUCUCUUGAGCCUGUUCUUUAAUCUGUAGGCUGCACCUUCUCUUUAAAUUCUGCUAAUAACACCAUGCGAGAAAACACCCGAGCUUGAAAAGCCCAUGUUCCAACAUAACUGUCCUUCACCACUCUGGAAAAUUAAUGGUUUGUUUCGAUUAUCCCUUUGUUAAACUCCAAAGUCAAAGAGCUCUGAAAGGCAUACGGUUAUUUUAAGUUUCAGGUGAUUUCUGUUGCCAAAUAUUUUAAAAAUUUAAAAUUGCUACGUGACCUCUUAGUAGUACUAUUAGAUUUCCUGACAAUAAAAAUAAGUCUUUUGGUUUCACCAUUUAUAGUUAGUACAGCUAAUAUUAAGUAUAAUUUUAAAAGCCUUUUAUUUUCUCAGAAAGAAAAAAUAAUCAAAAUCUGCUCAGUGUGGUAUUGAAUAAUUAAAAACAAAAGAACAGUAUCUUCACAUUAGUGUUUAAUAUUAAUUGCUUUUUUA